UUGUGAAUAUAUAUCUCAGUAGUUGGGACUGAAGUAGAGUCCUGCAGCGGGUUGGGUACCUGCAAAAAAAGCGGGCACCCUGUGGAAUGAGAGGAGGAUUUUCAGAUGGAGUAAACUAUGUUACAGAGUGAAAGGAUGGGACAUGGAGAUCCAUGUGGGUCAAAUGUGUAGAAUAGAUGUGUAAUGAUGGAGAAGCUAGCCGAUGAAGGUGCAGAUAAACUCAUCGUCUGGCCAUGGACAUCAGAGCUCUCAGGAAGAACUGCAAACAGUUUCAAUCUGGU